rnacentral:lncRNA from 1 species
GUCAUUAUAUAAAAAUACUGACCAAACAGAAUCGAGCAUCGUGGAGAGUGACCUACAGUACAUUGCGUGCAAAAAAAAAAAAAGUUCUCCAGAGCAUCAUCAUUGAAUUUAUGGUAAACAUGUAAAAGGUCUGUCACAAUAAAAUCAAUCAUGCACAAGUUGCAUAAUCGCAUUGGAAACUGCGAAGGGCAUCCACUGGGAUGUUCAUGUUGGUUUAACUCGACGGCUUUAGGACCUUCCAGCAGCGUCGAGCUGUGUGGAUUGGUUUGCAUCCUGCUCGCUGUUUCGCUACAAUGUCAGCACGCCUGAUCUCUCUCAUCGCUUGCUACAUACCCUUUUUCCAAUCUGGAAAUGCUCAACUGGGAGAGUCUAAAUUACAUGAUAGACCUUAUGAAGUCCUGCUGAGGCAAAAUCUGGUUCUUCUAAUAAGUGUUCUGUCCACGCUGCUGGUGGUCAUGAUUGGAAUGGCAGUUUGUGUCUACAAACCUCUUCGACGCAGGUGACAGGCCGUCCAGACGCUGGGAACCGAACACCACUAUGGCGACGGCGAAGGCUUGGUUUUGAAUAUUAAUGAGCCAAACCAAGCCAUUGGACGAGAACAAAGCUACGUCAUCACGAACUAUUUAAUAGUCGGGAACCGAACACCACUAUGGCGACGGCGAAGGCUUGGUUGUGAAUAUUAAUGAGCCAAACCAAGCCAUUGGACGAGAACAAAGCUACGUCAUCACGAACUAUUUAAUAGUCGGGAUCCAACACUUUGCUAUUGGAAGGUUACGAAUCAACGUCAGUAUGACCUAAUUAAUAUUGAUGAAACCCUUGGCGUCUUUCCCUGCAACACUUUAAUUAAAUCGAGUCACAAUCUUCGAUGAAACGUCAGUGUAAUGAAUCCAAAUCUUCCCAAACCUAGCUUAUAAUUUAAUUUUUAAAACCGAACACUAUUUCAAACACAUGCAUACCACAUAAGGAUGUUUUUCUUAAUGUGCACAGUUUGUAAGCUGCUAAAAUGUUCACAGUCUGAAUUUAUACGUAUUUAUUUUUUUUAUUUAAUUUUAUUUUCAUGUAUUUAUUGUAAGAUGUUUAUUUGACCGUUCUGAAAUGCCAUACCUCUUGAAUAGGGCUACUGAAUAAAUUAAAGUCAAAAUCUGUAUGAA